AAACGAAACUUACGAAACUAACGAUCAGGCGAGGAUGUUGAAAAUUCCAGUGGAGAUAACGCAACGUGCUGGACUUGGCCUUGCACGCUUGUUCGACUCUUCGAGUGCACACGCAUAAUAUUCUACGUGCAAUUAUUUGUGAUGCUAUGGCCCGGGAACACCUGUUGAAUAGGAACACGAAUAUAGGGCGUCCAUAUAAUUUCGUCAUAUGAAAACUUGCUGAUAUCCAAGAGGGGGUCACAUGACUUCGUCAUAUAAGGUGCCAAAUAGGGUCUCGGCAGAGGGAUUAAACAAUUCUGGAUGGUUAGCACUGUGGUGUCGAUGGUUGAGGGUAUAUAAAAAUGUUAUUAUUUUUAAAGGUCUUAUAGAGUCGCGUACGCGUAUGGGAAAAACGAUGGAGCACCCAUGGACGUAUUAUGAGGCUCUUCAUAUAUGA